UACGUAGGGUCCGAGCGUUGUCCGGAAUUACUGGGCGUAAAGAGCUCGUAGGUGGUUUGUCGCGUUGUCCGUGAAAACUCACAGCUCAACUGUGGGCGUGCGGGCGAUACGGGCAGACUGGAGUACUGCAGGGGAGACUGGAAUUCCUGGUGUAGCGGUGGAAUGCGCAGAUAUCAGGAGGAACACCAAUGGCGAAGGCAGAUCUCUGGGCCGUAACUGACGCUGAGGAGCGAAAGCAUGGGGAGCGAACAGG
rnacentral:rRNA from 1 species